GGAGAGAUGGCUCAGUGGUUAAGAGCACUGGCUGCUCUUCCAGAAGACCUGGGUUCAAUUCCCGGCAUCCA
rnacentral:tRNA from 1 species